rnacentral:rRNA from 1 species
GACGAACGCUGGCGGCGUGCCUAAUACAUGCAAGUUGAGCGAUGAAGAUUGGUGCUUGCACCAAUUUGAAGAGCAGCGAACGGGUGAGUAACGCGUGGGGAAUCUGCCUUUGAGCGGGGGACAACAUUUGGAAACGAAUGCUAAUACCGCAUAACAACUUUAAACAUAAGUUUUAAGUUUGAAAGAUGCAAUUGCAUCACUCAAAGAUGAUCCCGCGUUGUAUUAGCUAGUUGGUGAGGUAAAGGCUCACCAAGGCGAUGAUACAUAGCCGACCUGAGAGGGUGAUCGGCCACAUUGGGACUGAGACACGGCCCAAACUCCUACGGGAGGCAGCAGUAGGGAAUCUUCGGCAAUGGACGAAAGUCUGACCGAGCAACGCCGCGUGAGUGAAGAAGGUUUUCGGAUCGUAAAACUCUGUUGGUAGAGAAGAACGUUGGUGAGAGUGGAAAGCUCAUCAAGUGACGGUAACUACCCAGAAAAGGACGGCUAACUACGU